AUGUCACAAUACUUUGUCACACCCUAUGCUAUGCUUGAUGACAACACUUGUUUGGUGAAUCACCUCUUGAAUGCUUGGUUUUGCACUAAUGCUAACCACAUUUGUUUUUCCAAGUGUUUGUUCUAUUUGCUCCUUUUGAAGGAAUCACAAGACGGUGUGACAUUGGAGAGUGCCCAUUUCGAGCUACUAGACGAUGAGUGUUUGGUGAUCGACCACUUUGACACGGCACCGCCAUCUCUUUCCCAUGGUGAUUUGGUUUUCGAUCCGAGGUCGGAUCUUUUCCAAGGGGGAGGGGAUGAUGCAGAGCAUCCUACGGUCAUCACCAUGUCAAGAGUCCGUUUGGCAAGUGACACGUGCGACCUCUACUUCUCAUACAUAAAGGUGAAUCUUCUCCUUUACACGUGUUCACUUGACCCCUUCGAGGAUGGUAGACUACUUGACACUCCACCCGUGUGCAUGCAUAGGUGUCGCCAGAGCUUCACGGAUGACGAGGAGUAG
rnacentral:rRNA from 1 species